GAUGAACGCUGGCGGCGUGCCUAAUACAUGCAAGUCGAGCGAACAGACGAGGAGCUUGCUCCUCUGACGUUAGCGGCGGACGGGUGAGUAACACGUGGAUAACCUACCUAUAAGACUGGGAUAACUUCGGGAAACCGGAGCUAAUACCGGAUAAUAUAUUGAACCGCAUGGUUCAAUAGUGAAAGACGGUUUUGCUGUCACUUAUAGAUGGAUCCGCGCCGCAUUAGCUAGUUGGUAAGGUAACGGCUUACCAAGGCGACGAUGCGUAGCCGACCUGAGAGGGUGCUCGGCCACAAUGGAACAGAGACACGGUCCAGACUCCUACGGGAGGCAGCAGUAGGGAAUCUUCCGCAAUGGGCGAAAGCCUGACGGAGCAACGCCGCGUGAGUGAUGAAGGUCUUCGGAUCGUAAAACUCUGUUAUUAGGGAAGAACAAAUGUGUAAGUAACUAUGCACGUCUUGACGGUACCUAAUCAGAAAGCCACGGCUAACUACGUGCCAGCAGCCGCCGCGG
rnacentral:rRNA from 1 species